GGAUUUUUUUAGCUCGUGUAUAUUAUAAGCGUUAAAAGCAAGUGGUCAAUAUAAAAUGAUGCCAACAGGGAUGCCUAGUCAGACAUAAAGUAUAGCAAGGACAUUAUAUUGACGCCUAGUCAUCUCCUCAACCUCCCCUCUCCCGCUUCAUGACUACCACCGCCGUGAACGGCGACUCUCAUCGUCUUAAUGAAGUACCAAAUUGUUUCCAUUACUGGUCCAUUGUAACUCCUUCAUUUUCAGUUGCACGCUUAUUUACCGGUGUCGGGAGAAACGGAAUUUGCAGAUGAAUCUGUUGAUGAUUGACUAUCACAGAACUAAUAGCCUCCUGGCAUCGUCGAUGGAGACCUGGAAUGCAUUUGCUAAUACUUCCUCUGGCAUGGAACGGAUUGCUGAGACUCGGCCUGCGAGUUGGCUGAUUUGAGCUCUGUCAUUAGUCUUGAAUGAUACCCAUUCUAGACCUUCAAUGUUUGCCUUUGUAAUUACUACAAAAUUCUGUGGAACUGUCAACAUUUGAUCCCUUUUAACCUGUCCGUCAAACACGGAAUUCCCAUUUUCAUUCACAAUCUGAACACGACCGCUUCCUCUGGUAAAGUAUCGAAUGCUAUAGGCAUUGAUGUUCCAGUGUGGUGUCAUUAUCGCGUUCUGCAUACAAAGUGAUCAAUGAUUGCUGGUGUCGAUAAUUUGGACAAGAACAAGAGGGGAUCGACCAUUGUUAUAAAUCCAUUGAGCUACUCCGGCAGGCAAGGCAAUGACAUCACCCUCUCGGAUUUGACGGACCUUCUGAUGCUGGUCUCUCUGGCUCUGUCCUGCGCCGGCAGUAAACUGAGACUCUGACGGUGACUGGUAUGUCUCAGGACAGCCAGGGAUUACAGCUCCCUGAAUUCCUCUACCUGCAGUUUAAUGUAUAAUAGAAAUGCAAUGAUUUUAAUUUUAUAUUCUUUGCUCAUAUUAAAGAAAAUACAAACACAAGAUCAUAGAGUAAAGAAAGAUAUGCCUUGGACGACAUAAAUGAGCUUAGGUCCAUUGACGUAUUGUGGUAACAAUAGGCCUUUCGCUUGAAUAGUAUGGCGCAUAGCUACAAUACCAACACAUUGGAACUGUUGAUCAUUCUCAUCCCAGAUUUCAGUCAGACCAGCCUCUGAUUGAAACCUGCGAGAAGGCUCGACAGCAUUAAUGCGAUUGAGCUGGCACUCAUCCCGCUGCCAUCUUUGUUGUCGCUGUGACUUCUCUUGUCCGCUAGGGCGUGAAGUUACCUGCUCUAUCUGUGCAACAGAAUUGUGAAGAAGAACAAGAACGCAAAGGCCAAGAGAGAGCAAAUAUGAGUAAGCCAUGAGAGACUUCAGAGGCUGCAAUAUGAUGAUGAAAAGUUGCAUGCUUAUUUAUCGAUGCUGGUAAAAUGGAGUUUGCAGAUGAAUAUGUUGCUGAUUUACUAUAACAGAAAUAAUAGGAUUGCUGGUGUCGAUGAUUUGGACAAGAACAAGAGGGGAUCGGCCAUUGUUAUAAAUCCAUUGAGCUACUCCGGCAGGCAAUGCGAUGACAUCACCCUCUCGGAUUUGACGGACCUUCUGAUGCUGGUCUCUCUGACUCUCAUGUGCUGCACCGGCAGUAAAUUGCGACUGUGAUGGUGACUGGUAUGUCUCAGGACAACCGGGGAUUACAGCUCCCUGAAUUCCUCUACCUGCAUUGUUAUGUACGUAUAAUAGAAGUGCAAUGAUCUUAAUUUUAUAUUCUUUUCUCAUAUUAAUGAAAAUGUAAACACAAGAUGAAAGAGUAAUUAAAGAAACAUGGCAUACCUCGGACGACAUAGAUGAGCUUAGGUCCAUUGACGUAUUGUGGUAACAAAAGGCCUUUCUGCUGAAUAGUAUGGCGCAUAGCUACAACACCAACGCAUUGGAACUGUUGGUCGUUCUCAUCCCAGAUUUCAGUCAGACCAGCUUCUGAUUGGAACCUGCGAGAAGGCUCAACAGCAUUAAUGCGGUUGAGCUGGCACUCAUCCCUUUGCCAUCUUUGUUGCCGCUGCGACUUCUCUUGUCCGCUGGGGCGUGAAGUUACCUGCUCUAUCUGUGCUACAGAGCUGUGAAGAAGAACAAGAACACAAAGACCAAGAGAGAGCAGAUAUGAGUAAGCCAUUAGAGACUAUAGAGGCUAAUUCUUGAUGAUGAAAAGGUAAUUGAUGGGAUCGUUAUUUAUAGUGAAAGAAAUUUCAGUUUCAGUUUCAGUAUUUGGGAUGUGGCGAAUGGUUUUAUCGAUUUUUUCUGCAUGUGGAUUUGUCUGCAUAUUACAUGUAGUUUUGGUACAUUUCUUUGAUUACACAUAUUUUCUUUAA